GCAGGAUCUGGACGGGCUGCGCGUCGCGCUCGUCCUCGGCACGAGCGCGGGCGGCGUCGGCCGCCACGUCCGGUCCGUCGCCGAGGGCCUGGUC
rnacentral:tRNA from 1 species